rnacentral:rRNA from 1 species
GACGAACGCUGGCGGCGUGCCUAAUACAUGCAAGUAGAACGCUGAAGGAGGAGCUUGCUCUUCUGGAUGAGUUGCGAACGGGUGAGUAACGCGUAGGUAACCUGCCUGGUAGCGGGGGAUAACUAUUGGAAACGAUAGCUAAUACCGCAUAACAGUAGAUGUUGCAUGACAUUUGCUUAAAAGGUGCAAUUGCACCACUACCAGAUGGACCUGCGUUGUAUUAGCUAGUUGGUGGGGUAACGGCUCACUAAGGCGACGAUACAUAGCCGACCUGAGAGGGUGAUCGGCCACGCUGGGACUGAGACACGGCCCAGACUCCUACGGGAGGCAGCAGUAGGGAAUCUUCGGCAAUGGACGGAAGUCUGACCGAGCAACGCCGCGUGAGUGAAGAAGGGUUUCGGAUCGUAAAGCUCUGUUGUAAGAGAAGAACGAGUGUGAGAGUGGAAAGUUCACACUGUGACGGUAUCUUACCAGAAAGGGACGGCUAACUACGUG